ACGAGAAAGGAUAAGAUUAGGAAUGAGAAUAUCCGGGGUAAAGUAGGAGUAGCCGAAAUUGAAGGAAAGAUGAGAGAAAAUCGGUUACGGUGGUUUGGACAUGUGCAAAGAAGGCCUACUGACGCUCCGAUUAGAAGAUGCGACUAUGGGACAGAGGUUCAGGGCCGAAGGGGUAGAGGAAGACCUAGGAAAACUUUGGAAGAGACCCUAAAAAAAGACUUAGAGUACUUGGAUCUAACGGAGGACAUGACACAGGACAGAACACAAUGGCGUUCUAAGAUUCAUAUAGUCGAUCCCACUCAGUGACUUGGAUUUUCCAAGUCUCCAACCGAUAAGUUUUCCUCACUCGGGAAAUUAAGGGAACACUACCUCAACCUACAUGCUCCACUCACAAAGCUUCAACAUACAAGCUUCAACAAAGAAAAUUCAAAGAACUUAGCGAAGAAGGCUUUGGUGUAUUUAACACAAUACGUUGAAAUGAAGGAAAGCUUAUUUAUUGAUAUCCCCAAUAAGUUACAAAUAUGUACAUAUACUUGAGUCAAAAUAAACAAACAAGAGGGAGCCUUCACAAAGGUUGCUUAGGAGAAGUCUCAGCAGUCGGUAGAGCCCCAGAAAGAGAAGGCACCGGAGGGGGAUCAUUUCGGAGCCUCAGUACUGGACAGAACCCUAGAAGAGGAGGAGGCAUCAGAUAUUGAUCAUUUGGAGCUUCAUUACGCGUACAGCCCAAAAGACGAAGGCAAUAAAUGCCCUUGGAACAAAACCCACAAAUCUCUGAUGAUCAAGUAAAACCUGACCAUCAGAUUCCUUCAUCUGGUCAAGCUUCCUCUUCAUGUUUGUAGCAUAGUCAUGUGCGAGCCGGUGCAACUGUUUAUAUUCUCAUGCUUGAGCCCUCUAAUCUCCUGUUUGAGACUCAUCACUUCAGCCGCCAAUUUAUUCAACUUGGCGGGUUCGAGCAAAUAGGCGUUUGGGCCAUAUUAGACACAGAACCUGCACACUGAACACUAAGAGCCAGAGAAUCCUUAACAGCCAACUCAUCAGACCGUUUGGAAAGUAGUCUGUUAUCUUUGGGAGUGAGAAGGUUCCUGGCCACUACCGCAGCGGUCAUAUCAUUCUUCAUCACGGAAUCCCCCAACGGUAAGAGGACCAGUAGGGGAGACGAAGGAUGGGCGCUAUAUGUUGUCUGGAGAAGGCGGGGCUGUCUCUUCAACAAGGUUCAAGUCAAAACGACGGUCUGAGGGGCCAGACAUUUUCAAAGGUGUUGAAGAGAGAAAAGGUCGGACAAAUCAAGAUCUUAGAAGUGCAAGAAUGGAGCUUCUACUGGUGGAUAUUCAAGUGUGCUUUGGAACUUAAUGUCAGCCUCUAUAAAAAUCUGCGCUCGACGAAGCUUCAGAAAUCGAAGAGGCGCCUGCUCAGAAAUCGAAGAGGCGUUUGCUUUCUCAAAAGCUGGGCUGCUUAGAGACCACGAGUGUCGAUCUCAGAAAUCGAAGAGGCGUUUGCUUUCUCAAAAGCUGGGCUGCUCAAAGACCACGAAGGUCGAUCUCAGAAAUCGAAGAGGCUUGCUUUCUCAAAAGCUGGGCUGCUCAGAGACCACGAGGGCCGAUCUCAGAAAUCGAAGAGGCACCUACUUUUCCAGCUUGUUGUCAGCACCUGUCACACGCACACUCAGCUUUGCGGAAAUUAUGGGCAUUCUGUCGAAGAUUUCUGGCGAAGUAGAAAGCACAUGAAUCGUACUGUUCAAUCACCCACUUCCCACACGCAACAGUAGCUCAUGGGUACCACAUAUAACUUUGCCAAAGUUCUCUGACAAAGUUGAGACACGUGAAGCUUGCAGCUCCCACUACAUCGCUCUCUGACCAAGAAGGGUAAAAGAAUAGCAAAGAAACAACACUAACAAAGUUUAGACACAUAAAUUUUUUGAAGGUCUAGCUACCAUAUUAUUACCCACAAGGGUAAAGGAACAGUACCACUGCUGGAUAAUUGGAAAGUCCCGCUGUGUCAACCUCUGUGCUUCGUGGCAAGGUAGACUAGCAAACAUGCCCAACCUUUACUCACAUUCGAGAAAACACUCCCAACAAGAUUGCUUGCUCCAAAAUCGAAGAGGCACCGCCCUCCGAAUCUCGAGAGCCAAACUCCCAACACGAUUACUUUCUCAAAAAUUGAAGAGAGGGUAAAGGAACAGUACCACUGCUGGAUAAUUGGAAAGUCCCUGUGUGUCAACCUCUGUGCUUCGUGGCAAGGUAGACUAGCAAACAUGCCCAACCUUUACUCACAUUCGAGAAAACACUCCCAACAAGAUUGCUUGCUCCAAAAUCGAAGAGGCAUCGCCCUCCGAAUCUCGAGAGCCAGACUCCUAACAUGAUUACUUUCUCAAAAAUCGAAGAGAGAGGGUAAAGGAACAGUACCACUGCUGGAUAAUUGGAAAGUCCCUGUGUGUCAACCUCUGUGCUUCGUGGCAAGGUAGACUAACAAACAUGCCCAACCUUUACUCACAUUCGAGAAAACACUCCCAACAAGAUUGCUUGCUCCAAUAUCGAAGAGGCACCGCCCUCCGAAUCUCGAGAGCCAGACUCCCAACAUGAUUACUUUCUCAAAAAUCGAAGACAUCGCUCUCCGAAUCUCGAGAGCCAGACCUCCAGCAGGAUUGCUUUCUCAAAAAUCGAAGAGGCAUCGUUCUUCGAAUCUCGAGAGCCGGAUCCCCGACAGGAUUGCUUGUUCGAAAACCGAAGAGGCACCACUUUCCCAACUUCAAGAGCUGGAUCUCCUUGGAUAAAGCUUGUCUGUAAUCUUCACACGCAACAUCAGCUUUCCAGAUACCACAGACCACUUUUUCAAAGUGCUCUGACAGAGUUAAAACUUGUGAAGCUGGCAGCUCCCACUACCGUGCUAUGACCAAGCAGGGUAAAGGAAUAGCAUUAUUACUUGAUGUUAGGGAGACUCCUAUAUAUGUCGACCUCCAUCCCCAACGGACAGGCAGACCUGCAAAAAUGCUCAACCCUUCCUCUUAUCUGAGAGGGCACUCCCAACGAAGCCUUUCGAAAUAUUCAGCUUUCUUUCCCCCCGAUAAUACCUCUGUAAACAAGCUAUACUAGAGCAAGAAUAUCUCAUAUCAUCAGGGUUAAAAGCAAGAGUAUCCCAUAUCAUGCUUUUUCCCCGUCUUUUCCUUUGGCCUUGUUCUUACCUGCAAGACAAGGAGAAAGAGAGCAAUCAGUCAGCACUUGGAAUCAAGCUUCCAGCCAGGAACUGACUGCCUGGAACCCCUUACCUGAUUACUUACCUGGCAUUGCUCUCGAGUACUCAUCUUCAACAUCUUAUGCUUCCAGGGAAGAUACCGCAUCUGCCUGAGGAACAGAUAGGGCAAGUGAAAAGGAUACAAGGAAGCAUGUGGAGACAAACGUAACAGCACACGUGCCGAUACAUCCACUACUUUGUCAAAAGCAAAAGUAUCCCAUAUCAGCAGGGUCGAACGUACUCUAGAUUUGAUGGACUUGUUUUGACCCUCAAAUUCUUCAUUCGGCCUUAUACUCUGGAGGAAAACAGAAAACCCUCCAGCCCAGUUCAAGAAUAAGCCUGUGGAAAGUUACUUCUUCAAAAGCAAAAGUAUCCCAUAUCAUCUCUUCUCAUUUUUCUUCUCUUUAUCCUUCAUGCUGCCUGCAAGAUAGGGAGAAUGUGAACAAUCAGCCGGAGCUCUGAUUGCUUACCUUGUCUGUCACCUCUUUCAGCAGAUCCCCUAGCUCGGCGAUUUGGGGGACUCCUACUACAUGGUUUGUAUCACGCUUGACCAAGCCUGAAACUACAAGUAAGCUUCAAGUGACAUUGAUACAUUACCUUGUGCAUCUCCACUAGUUACAGAUACCACCCCUGGAUGGAGGAAGAGUACUUCCAGAGAAGAUGCCACAUCUACCUAUGAGACAGAUAAGGAAAGUCAAGACGAUACCACACUCCGGUACUUAGAAGUUUCGUGGUUACGAGAUCAUUCUCCCACAAUAUUUCCUAAUGUCAUUUGUACUAAAUCAUUCACUUGUACUCACUAAAGGAGAGCUUGAACCUAUGUACUUGUGUAAACCCUUCACAAUUAAUGAGAACUCCUCUAUUCCGUGGACGUAGCCAAUCUGGGUGAACCACGUACAUCUUGUGUUUGCUUUCCUAUAUCUCUAUCCAUUUAUAUACUUAUCCUCACUAAUGACCGGAGCAAUCUAGCGAAGAUCACAAAAAGUGACCGUUUUCGCUACCUAGGAUCUAUCCUGCAAGAGAACGGAGAAUUAGAUGGAGAUCUCAACCAUAGAAUACAAGUUGGAUGGAUGAAGUGUAAGAGUGCAUCCGGCGUGUUGUGUGACCGUCGUAGGCCACUGAAGCUCAAGGGAAAAUUUUAUUUUAUAGGACGGCAAUAAGGCCAGCGAUGUUGUAUGGCACAGAAUGUUGGGCGGUGAAGCAUCAACACGUACACAAAAUGGGUUGUAGCGGAGAUGAGGAUGCUUCGUGGGAUGUAUGGGUACACGAGAAAGGAUAAGAUUGGGAAUGAGGAUAUCCGAGGUAAAGUAGGAGUAGCCAAAAUUGAAGGAAAUAUGAGAGAAAAUCGGUUCCGGUGGUUUGGACAUGUGCAAAGAAGGCCUACUGACGCUCCGGUUCGAAAAUGUGACUACGGGACAGAGGUUUAGGGCCGAAGGGGUAGAGGAAGACCUAGGAAAACUUUGGAAGAGACCCUAAGAAAAGACUUGAGUACUUGGAUCUAACGGAGGACAUGACACAAAACCGAGCGCAAUGGCGUUCUAGGAUUCAUAUAGCCGACCCCACUUAGUGGGAAAAGGCUUUGUUGUUGUUGUUGUUGUUGUUGUGGUGUUAAUGGUGGGAACUGGAAGACCCAUUUCUCUAGUCCAGCUGAGCUGCUGAGACGAUGACGGAGUUGCAGAGAGGACGAGUUCUCACUCCUCUCUUCCUCUUCGACUUUGAUAUCGUGACAAGGGUCUUCUUAUUUUCAUUAUCAUCACCCAUUCAAAUUUCUUUGAAUUGUCAUAUUUUCAGGUAUUGUGUUUAUUCAUCUGAUUGUUUUUCUUUGUAGGUUUAGUGUUUCAUUUGUUUCUAAUAUAGGACCUGGGAUGUAGUAAGACUUAAUUUCAGGUCUUAAAUUUUGGGGUUGAAUUUGGGGCUUUUGUUUAGGGUUUACGAAUUGUGAUUUAAUAUGUUGUGAAAUUAGAUUUGGGAGUUCAUGUUGUGGCUUUGGAGUUCAAAGUUCUUAUUGGAAAGGUAUUAGUAACACUGUUAAAAACUAGGACUUUUCGUUAGAAAAAGAAGAGGCUGUGAUCUGUUAUUUAGGUGUUUUAACUGUCUCUUUGCUGGUGGGAAUUGUUCAGCUGGUGGAGAAAGUGUAAAAUGGGGUUUUCUUAUUCUGUUCUGCAUUUGACAGGCUCUUUUCUGGCGUUGGUUUUCAGUGGGAAUAGUUGUACAAGCACAACUGACUAACUGAGCAAAAUGUGGAAGCGAGUGGUACAAGCACCCUCAGCUCAGCUCCAAACCCUAGCCUCUCAGAGAUCCUCAUGUCUCAAACACAGCUUUCGACUCCUCAUCUUCUCACCAUCGUCCUCUUCAAUGACACUGUUUCAGCGAUACCCUGCUCUUUCCUCCACCCACGCCACCUUACUUCCUGUUCCAGUGCGUCUGCAUUUAUGGGUCAUGAGCAUGAGGAAUUUGAGGCUGAGCAUCAGGUUAGCAACGUAACUGCACUGUUAUUUCUUUUUUUCUUAUUUUUGCAGUUUUAAAAUAUAAAAUUUGCUUAAUUGUGGGCUACAUAGUGAUUUUGUUUCGAUUAAUGUUUCUACAGAGUAGGAUCAAUACAUCCAAACAGAGUGGAAUGGAUAAUGGGUAUUAUGGUCAAAAUAGUGGGCAGGUGCAACAGAAACUAAAUGGGGCAUGUGCUGAUGGUUCACGGGAUCCCCAGUAUAGUCAAAGUAACAAUGGGAUUUUCUGGAGAAGCACAGGCAACGAAUUUAUGAAUGACCCAGUUCAACAAAAUGGAAAUUUUAGAGGGUAUUAUGGUCAUGAAAAUAGAUGGUUGCAAAAAACCCCAAACCUGCAUGGGAAACAUUUAGGAAAUGGAAAUAUACAGAAUCCAUAUGUGUCUCGGAAGGAGCCAUCCAUAGAAGUCAGACAGAAUCCCGAUGAUUUUAAAUCACAAGUAAAUUCAGGAUCGCAGGGAAACCAUAAUCAGAAUUCUAUGCAAAGUUAUGCACAUUAUCGGCAAAAUACCAAUGGUUACUCUGAAAUGCAUCAGCCGAACCCUAAUUAUGGACAACAUCAACAGAAUUCUAGUUAUGGAAACGGGCAAUACCAGCAACACCCUAGUUAUGGGCAAUACCAGCAAAACCCUAGUUAUGAACAAUAUCAGACAAAUUCAGGUGCUUUUCAAAAUACGAUAGUGGAUUCUCACAUAGGAAGUGAGUCAAAAUCUGAAGCACAAUUAAUUGAGGCUUCGGAAGAUAGCCCGUCUAGUUCCAGUCUUGAAGAGUUGGAUCGUUUUUGCAAGGAGGGGAAAGUUAAGGAGGCUGUGGAGAUCUUGGGACUGCUAGAGAAGCAGCACGUUCAUGUAGAUUUGCAUCACUUUUUACAGUUGAUGCAAGCAUGCGGUGAGGCCAAGGCUCUAGAAGAAGCAAAAGUUGUUCAUGACAGCAUUACAAGAUUAUUGCCUCCUUUGAAUGUGAGUACGUACAACAAAAUCUUGGAGAUGUAUUCUAAAUGUGGUUCUAUGGACAACGCAUUUUUGGUUUUCAACAAGAUGCCAAACCGGAAUUUGACAUCGUGGGACAUUAUGAUAACAUGGUUUGCUAAGAAUGGUCUUGGGGAAGAUGCCAUUGAUCUAUUUACCCAAUUCAAGAAAGCAGGCUUGAAACCCGAUGGCCAAUUGUUUAUUGGCGUUUUAUACGCUUGUAGUGUCGUGGGAGAUAUUAAUGAAGGAUUGCUGCAUUUUGAAUCAAUGAGCAAAGAUUAUGGUAUUGUCCCAAAUGUGGAUCAUUAUGUGAGUGUAGUAGAUAUGCUAGGAAGUAUGGGCUAUCUAGAUGAAGCUUUGGAAUUCAUUGAAAAGAUGCCAUUGGAACCUAAUGUUGAUGUUUGGAAGACCUUGAUGAAUCACUGUAGAGUUCAUGGGCAGUUGGAGCUUGGGGACCGGUGUGCGGAGCUUAUUGAGCAGCUACAUCCCUCCUGCUUAGAUGAGCAAUCAAAGGCUGGCCUUAUUCCUGUAAAAGAAUCUGACCUGGUAAAGGAGAAAGAGAAGAAAAAAAUAGCAGCACAAAAUCUUUUAGAAGUGAGGAGCCGAGUCCAUGAAUAUCGAGCAGGUGAUAAAUCGCAUCCUGAGAACGAUGAAAUUUAUGCUCAACUCAGGGGUUUAAGGGAACAGAUGAAGGAGGCUGGCUACAUUCCGGAAACGAGAUUUGUGUUACAUGACAUAGAUCAGGAAGGCAAGGAAGAUGCUUUGCUUGCCCAUAGUGAGAGACUUGCUCUUGCUCAUGGCCUCAUCAGCAGCUCAGCUCGUUCAACUAUUAGGGUUAUCAAGAAUCUUCGUGUUUGUGGCGAUUGCCAUAACGCACUGAAGAUCAUUUCGAAAAUUGUAGGCAGAGAACUCAUCAUGCGAGAUGCUAAGAGGUUCCACCAUUUCAAAGACGGAUUGUGUUCUUGCCGAGAUUAUUGGUGAACAUACGAAACUCGAAUUAUUCUUUUGUCUCAGGUAUUAUUACAAACUCUGUUUUGAUUACUCGAAAUGCCGGCAUGUUAUAUGAUAUAAUGCUUUGAAAAGUAAUUUUGAGACGGACCUUAAUUCAACUGAUCAAACUGCUAACCUGCGUAAGCCUAUCGCGAAGAGCACCUCAUUCUUUCGAUGUCCAAUAUUUAGCUGUAGCAUCUGUCGAGAAAUCGGCCUCUGUAAAUACGAAUUGCUGUUCAACUUUGCUGCCAGGAGCUUUGAUGUCCUUCGAAAUCUUGAUGUUAUCAGUAUUGCUCUUCUUCGCCGAGGUACCAAAGACACGUAAUUAAAUGAAGAGGAUUGUGAAUCUUAAGACCAAGACUUGCAAAUACCACAAGAAAUUAAAGCUACAAGCAAUCCAUUGGACCAAACACGACCAGAGAGUUUACUAGAAGCAAUAAACCGCUUCCUGCGUAAGAUAAAAGUUUUUUCUAUCCCGUACACAGAACCUAACACGACCCAAAAGAUAAAGUACGAAAAGCAGUGUUUUAAAAAGCGCCGCUUGAUCAUUGGUGUUUUAACUCAUCAAAAUGUACAGUAAUGGUCAUUUUCGUCAACUCCGUUAGAAUUUUUGUCAAAAUGAUCUCCCGUCGUUGGCAUCCAGGGCCUCGCACUUGGCCUGCCACUAUGGGCAGUGCUAUUGGGAGCUCUCCAAAGCUCGCCUCAGGUACUCGUUACCUCCUUUUCUUCAAUCCAUUUUUCAUUGAAUUUUUUUAAAUUAAAUUGUCUUUCAUCUUGGAAUAAUUAAAUCAUUGUAUUAUCUGAUAUUUUUUUGAUAAUUUCUGUGAUAAUUUUGUAUGUGCGCAAUUAUUUGAUACGCUUAAUCUCAGGUUGAUUCACACAGUUGUACUGCUCUUAAGCGUUUGAUUUUCUAUUGGAGAGCAAGAUUUAAUUUCAAUAUGUCAAUAAGAUAAUCUCUGUGGACAAGUUGUCAUUCUUAAACAAACUGGAUUGCAGAAACAAUAAUAUGUUUUCUUUCAAAGACUAGGACCUUAAUCCGAAAUUAGGUUUUCGAAAAUAUCUCCUUUCUAGUCUGCGUGAAUAUGACCCAAAAGGAUCCACCCCAUUGUGAAGAAAGUGAGGAGAAAAAAAAAAUCAAGUUUGAACACAUUAAGUCCUCUUUGCCUGCAAAAAUAUGGUCUUCGAAAUUCUCUUGUUUCUCUCCAGCAACAGUUUUAUGCCUCUCAAGAAUCAGGGAAGAGCACUGGGAUAGGAUUUCCCAACUGACAUUUCCUUCGCAACACUAUCUCGGUCAUAGCUUUAGAACUGUAGAGAACAAUGGAGACACGGGACUUGCACUUUUAUACUCAGUUUUAACACGUUAUACACCAACAUGGAGACAAACAGACAUGUAGUCUUGUCCUUAUAGUCAUAUCAUAGGUUUUGAUCCUCCAUGAGAAACCAAUGAGGCAGCUAACCAAGAAAAAACUAAAUCAAUAAAGAGAGAUGGAUUGUCACAUAAACCGAGAAGCUGCCACAUGGUUAUAAACUCCAUCUUCUACCAUCUGAUCUAACCAGAUAUAAACAAAAAUUCCCCAAAAAAGACAACCAAGAAGUGAGCUCCCUCUAUUUCCAAAUCAUUGAUAUCUUUCCUGAAACCAUCCCAGCUCAAUGCAAUAGAAGUUCUUACAAAUCUAGUAAGGGGCAUGUUUUAAUAACUGGAGAUAUUGUACAGGUGAGGAAACUAAUUAUUCAAAUAUGACUCCCCAACCCUUUUUCUCGUCCUAGAAUUCAUCCUCUCUUCGGUAACCAGUGCUAACUUGCAGCAAGAUGAAGGGACAAUCAUCCUGAGAAUUCUAUUUUGAAGGGCUUAGACUCGAUCUCCUCACAACUGAUUUUGCAUCCCACCCAUGUUCAUGUAACCCAUACUGGUUUCAAUAUAAACAUUCAUAAGGGAUCCCUUUCUCAAGUAAAUAUCCAUUGUCACUUAGCGAGAAAAUACAUAUUUUCCACCUCCAUCUAGGUAAGUUGAGUUAUCACUUAUUAAGUUAUUAAGCCAAUUUUUUUUUUCAACUCCUGAAUUCAGGACUCAGUUUAAUUGCUCUGUUAGAAAAGAUGUUUCGAUAUUUUGCUUCAACAUGUAAAAGCAGUAUCGGCCCUAUCGGGUGUAUUUUCUUUCAUGCAUUAAACAUGUACAUUUUGUGUUCAUAGCGGAUUCUCUUCUAACUGCAGAUUAUCAAUUUUUCGUCAUUGAAACUUAGUUAAAGAUUUUUUUUCUUAUGAGUUUUUCACUUUCACCGCAUUUUAGUCAUUGCAACUUCUGGAACUGGGUUUAUUCUUGGAAGUGGCCAUGCCAUUGAUUUUGCUGGACUUUGUUGCACAUGUGCUGGUACCAUGAUGGUUGCAGCAUCUGCUAAUUCCUUAAAUCAGGUUUGCUGUUCAAUAACAGAUUUUUCUUUCUACACACACACAAUAUACGGAAAUGGAGCUAACUGGUGGGUCAGUGUGCAAAGAGAGGUCUCCCUUUAACAGGAUAGAUACACAUACUACACACACGGAACAUUUUUUUUUUGUCCAUUAAAGUUGGAUCUAAGAUACAAGCAGGAAUGAAGCUUAGCAUGGAAUCAGACUUUAUAGGGACCAAUAUGAAAAAUAUGAACAAAAUAUUUAAUGAUAAUUAGGAUCGUUUCAAGAUUAAUGGUUUUCGAAAGUUUUGUAUUAUUUUAUUUUGAUGGUGCAGUUUCUAAUUUUUCAUUGUUUAGGGCCCAUUUGAUCAUUUUUGAGUAGUUAAUGGCUCACUAUUUGCAGUACCUGUAGUUUUGUAGAUCAACAAUUUGAUCAGGUAAGGUGUUAAAUCAUUGAAAUUAUUUGGUUUUAGGCGUUUGAGAAGCAAAAUGAUGCCAAAAUGAACAGAACGAAGAACAGACCACUACCUUCAGGACGCAUUACGAUCCCUCAUGCAGUCACCUUGGCGUCUGCUGCUGGUUUAGCUGGCACUGCUUUGUUAGCAAGCAAGGUGCCCAAAUGAAUUUACACUUUCUUCUAUAAUUGUUAUAUGACAUUAAAUGUUUGAUUUCCAUCACCUCAAAUGUUUGAUUGUUUGGGGACUAAUGUUGCAACUCUUAUGACAAGGUUGUUGCAGGCUAAUAUGUUGGCAGCUGGUCUUGGAGCUUCCAAUCUAAUACUUUAUGCGUUUGUCUACACUCCAUUGAAGCAGAUUCACCCAGUGAACACAUGGGUUGGUGCUGUUGUUGGUGCUAUCCCUCCACUUCUAGGGUAAUUUGUUCCGUAAGUUUCUUUGAGCUACAUGCUAUUUUCAUUGGACCUAUUGGAGUUACUUUAUUUAUUGCUUUGGCUGUUGAACAAUUAUUCUUUCAAUUGACUCAUAGUAGCUUAAAUGUUAGUUGUUGCAAUAUAUUUUGGCAGCCCAAAACUGAUCUGGGUUUUCUCUAAUCCCCAUUAAGCAUUAAAUAAAAACGAAGUUUGUUUUCCAGUAUAUAUUGAAAAGUACCCAUUGUUGUACUGUACCAAAUAUAUUAUACAUAAAACUGCAAAUUCCUCCUGUAUCUUUUUCUCUCUGUCCUCCCCAUGACCUCCCUCUCUGGUCUGAAUUUUUUUGUAAUAUCUACAAACUUACCUCGUAGCUUCCACUUGUUUAACAGUAAUAGAUCUCUCUCUCUCUCUCUCUCUCUCUCUCUCUCUCUCGCGCGCGCGCACGCUCACUCACACACACACACACACACACGUGUUUGCGUGUGUGUACGCCUUGUUAUGGGACCAUUUCCAAGUUGAUCUUGAACCGCCCCAUGCAGAGGUGGUUUUCUUUGUGUCACCAUCUGAUUGGUAUAACACUCCUGUAGCCAAGGACUGCACCACAAAGGAACCCAAUUAUUGUUGAUCGGUUUGUGUUUGCAUGUAUAUAAGAAGAUGAUUGACCAUUACUUACCUCUCUGAUAUCCCGUUUUAUCUGCGCCAUAGACUUUUAGAUAUGAAGCUUCUAACCCUGCCAAUCAACCUUGAUCUUAGGAUGUUAUUAUGGAGAUCGUUGGGAAUCAUGGUGGCUGACUUUAGCCGUAGGCGUAAAAAAUAGAAACUGGGUUUUUUUAUUCAGUUACUAGUAGUUUUACUAUUUUCUUGUCUAUAAUUCAACCUUCUUUUUUCUUAUUCAUACAAGAAUAAUUCUUAUUUAUUCUGAUUGAAAAAAAAUGGGAAUAGAUCUAAUUUUCUUCGUUAUAAUUCUUUGUGCUGGAAGUUCCCCUUGCAGUAUUCGUAUACUCUAUAAUUUUCUCCAUGUUGAAGUUCCCUUUGCAGAUCUGAACUGAUAUUCUUGUUUGUUUCAUUACGAGUCAUGCCAUAAAAAAGUUGUUAUCAAGAACUGAAUUUCCUGCAUUCUGGUUCAUGAUUUCUAUUUUGGGUUUCAGUUGGGCUGCAGCUUCCGGCCAGGUUUCCCUCAAUGCAAUGCUACUCCCAGCUGCUCUCUACUUUUGGCAAAUACCUCAUUUUAUGGCCCUAGCAUACUUGUGCCGUAAUGACUAUGCGCCGGAGGGUAUGAACUUUUGGGUCUUUCACGGUCUUACUUUAAUAUUUAUGUCAUCAGUUGAAAAGAUUCAACUAGUGCACCUGGAAAUUGUUUCAGAACAGGAGUUUUAUUUCCUGCCUUUGCUUUCAUGGGCCUUGUAUCUGUUCAUGGAAAGAAUUAAUCAAUAUCCAAUUAUGCCCUAUGAGUUCAAGGCAGAAAGAAUUAUAGUUGACAGAUUUUAUACUUUUGAGAAUGAAUGUUGUGAGCAGCCUGUUUUGUUAUCAAUUUAAUUCCCCUUUUAAAUGAUUAGCAUGAGAUUUUAGGAAUUUGCUGUCAAGCUGAUUGUAGGUGGGAUCUUUGUAUGUUGAUGGUGGUCCACAGAUUAUUGAUGCAGUUCACUUGGCUCCUUCGUGUCUAAUCCUUUUUCGUUUGUUGCAUUUUCAGAUUUAGGAUGUUCUCCCUUGCUGAUGCUUCUGGUCAGAGAACAGCCUCGGUAGCUUUAAGGAAUUGCAUAUACAUGAUCCCUUUGGGGUUCUUGGCCUAUGACUGUAAGUCCAGGACUCACAAACCAUCUUUCUUUUUCUAAUCGUGUUUCUAUUUGUAUUUUUGUAUUCCUGUUGGUGGUUGUCUUCUUGUAAUGCUCUUUGGGCCUUUUUCUUUUUCUUCUCGCUUUUCAACCAAUGUUCAACCAAUCUUAUUUCUUAGUGACAGAAGGUUUUCAGUCAUAUAAGUGCCAGCAUUGGUCUUCGUUAAAUUGAAAAUAAGUGAUUUAGACUUACAUUUACCAUUGGGAAAAAACACAAGAAAUGUCUCUCUUUUCUUUUUUUUCUUCCAUGAAAUAGAUUGGUAUCUGGCUAUCGUGUCUGAUAUGGCUGUUUUCAGAUUGCAAUAUGAGUCUUUAGCUAUUUGCAUUUUCCCAAGACUCUUGGUGGGUUUAACAAAGCUGACGAGUUAUAUUUGUUACUCAUGGUUUUGGGUGAUUUCAUGUCGCUGGUCCUCUCGUACAUUGACUUUAAUAUGUGGCUCCUUCUACCUGUUAUCAAUUGUAUGAUACUGUGGGGACAAUUCUUGAUCAUCGUUGUACGUGAUUGAUUAAUCGGACAUGUCAUCUUUGUUAUCACGCAACUCUUCUUGGUAGUGGAAUGACCAAAAUAUUCCAUGCUUGAGAUGCAACCUUUGGCCUUUGAUCACUAAGCAGGGAAUAAUUAAUGUUGGGGAUUACAUCUCAUUCCACCCGUUUCUUCUGUCUGCAGGGGGUAUGACGUCUGGAUGGUUUUGUCUUGAAUCUACUCUUCUUACUCUCGCGAUAGCUGCAACAUCAUUUUCGUUCUAUCGAGACCGUACUACACAUAAAGCAAGGAAGAUGUUUCAUGCCAGCCUUCUUUACCUUCCUGUAUUUAUGUCGGGGAUUAUGUUCCACCGCAUCGUUGAUAAUCAACAAAGCCUUUCUGAAGAGAAUUUAGAGAGUAGUGUUGAGGUUUCAUUGUCCUCACAAGACGGCAAUGUCAAACGGAAGAGUAGGUCGAGGAAUUCCACAGAUGGCUCCCAAGUUCGCCCACCUGUAUCGUACGCCUCUAUUGCACCGUUUCCUUUCCUCCCAGUUCCUUCGUAUGCCGAUCCAUGAUAUGUUUCUGGGUCCCUUGUUUUUUACAACGAAACGUCGAAAGCUGCCCAACAAAGUAUUUUUGUUCAAAGAGCAAUGUCUUUCCCCAAGCAAACGUCUCCCGGAAAGGUCGAAAACCUGUAUUCUUUUGCAAAUUGCAAGUUUCUUGUUGGGAAUGUAUUUUUGCUUUGUAGUGUUGGAGGUUUAGGUGUUUGAGUUGGUAAUGCAUUGUUGAUUUAAAGUAUACGAAUAAGGCGGCCAUCUGUUCAAUGAUUAUGGAAGAGCAGCUAUUGAUUUUUUGCAGAGAUAUAUUUACAAAGUGAUUUAUAAUAUGAACGCUACUAAUCAUGAUCGAGUUGCUAAGCCCCUGUUAUAUUGAGAUAGCUCCUAGACUCCGCGGUUGCUGGUUGAAUCACGGGUUUGUGCACUUCUUAGAUCAUUCGGUGGUCGUUUACUAAUUAGGUGAUUGCCCUACAGUUGUUUUUGCAAAGACAGGUCCAGUCGUCUUUGUGUUCUUAAACUUGAGUACAGGCGAUCGCUCUAUGGUCGUUUUUGCGUUCACCUUCCAUACCUAUUUAAGCGCGAGUCCCAUUUGCAUCACAUAUGGGAUUGGAGGACUUCCAAGAACUAACUUGCCAUAACUGUCUCUCGUUCAUGAUUGUAAGUAAGAUCAUGUUCAAAGAAGAUGUCAAAAAUGUCACAUAGACAUAUAAGAGUAAUAAUUGACGUAUCAUUUACUCCAACUGAGAUGCCAAAUAUGACAUGGAAAAAAAGGCUAAGCUGAUAUGGACAGAGAUGUCAAAUUUAAGUUGCCUUCAAAUUUGAUUUUUUUCUAUUUCCAAAGGUAUUCCACUUGUCUUACCUUAAAUGAAGCAAUAAAUUAUAUCAUUUUUAAACCAACAACAACCCAACUUUUAUUAUUUUUGUUUAAAAAAACAUAAAUGAAGCAAUAAAUUUUGGCAUAUCGGGUGGAAUGAAAAUAUUGACAAUAUGUCAAAUUGCCAAUUCAGCCAUCAAAUUGAAAUUUGAUGUUUUGAAUUUGAAAUGUGUGUACAUUUGGCCACGUGUUACCAUCACUGGCUCAAUUAUCAAUCCUAUUUACAUUUAAUUUGUAUGGAUGUAGGGGCCAAAUGUUUAUUUCAAGCCCUUCAUUUCCAAAUUCCAAAUCUUUAAUAUUAAAAGUUUGAAAAAUAUUCAGCUACGGCUUCCCUCACAACCACAUGACUUUCCUUGUGGAUCAAGUUAGAACCAUCACUGCCUGGAAUUUAUUUUGGGGAUGGACCAUCACUUUUGUCUUAUUUCCCUUGACUAACUUAUAGACUUUGUCAAACGUCUAUGUGGGGCUGGAUGUAGAAAAAUGAAGCUCCUUUCAUAAAAUUCCAAGGUUGAGCAAGAACUUCUCCAAUUAUAUGUUUCAUUGGGAAAAAAAACCAUCUUAAGACAAAAAAAAAAGAAAUAAGAUUGGCUAUAGAAUAUUAUGCAAGACUAAUGUUGAGCUGUCAAUUGUUAUGAAUCAAAUUACUUGAAAUGCACAUAACGUGUCUUUUAAGUUAUGAAUCGAAUCACAAACUAAUUGGCUCCUAGUUCAAUUUAGUUUGCAAUUCUCACAUGGAUAUGUUUACGAAAAUGUAUCAAACACUACGAAAAUGAAAGAAUAGUAAAUAAUGUUAAAUACUUAGAAAAUAUCCAACAACAAAGUAAUAACUUGAAAGAAAUGCAAAUUUGAUAGAUUUAUAUUUGUUGCUUUCUGGCAAUUUGGUUUGGGAUAUGGAAUGGUUUGAUUCGUGUCGUUGUGGUGAUAUACCUAAUAUCUUAAUGGAUCGUGUCGUAUAACACCCAUUAAAAUGAAGCGAUAAUAUGAUCCAACACAAACCCAACCCUUUAAUAUUAAUGGGGUAAUAUGCCCUAACUCAUUACCUGUUAAAGAAAAUAUAUUCUAGUUAACAAAUAAUAAAAUGAAAAAUGUAAUAAUAAAAACAUAAAUGAGAUGAAAGAAUCCAACUGUAAGGAUUUAAUCUCACUUAUAUGGCUAGUGUUGUAGUAAGGUUUUUUAAUUAAUGUAGAAUUGUGAAAUAUAUAUAUAUAUAUAUAUAUAUAUAAAGAGAUACAAAGCUCGUAAUAACAAGCUCUACAAAUUUUGUGAAGAUGUCAACUUUGAAAUUCAUCACCAUAAUCCCAUAAACCAUUGAUUUAAAUUUAAUCGUUGAUUGUCAUUAACGUUUAUGCUCUAUUCUUCUCAUGGUAUUUCGUUUUUUUUUCCCUUCAUAUUUUCAUUUUUGAAAACAUGAUCUUCUAGCGGAUGCAAAAAGAUAAAUGAUUCAGAUCGUUGAUAUCACUUUCAGAUUUUACAGUUGGUGAAAAUAUUGCUCAGAGUUUAUAAAGUCUCUAGAAACUAUACAAUAUCGACUCAUAUUUGAGUUAACCGUAAACGUUGGAACGUGAUAUCAAUGAUCCAAACCAUUCAUUUUUCUGCAUCCGCUAAAAGAUCAUGUUUUCAAAAAAGAAAAUCUGAAAAAUGAAAUUUGGUGAGAAGAAUAAAGCAUAAACAACAAUCAAAGGUUUAAUAUAAAUCUAGGUUUUUGGAUUGCGGUGUCGAAUUUCAAAGUUGACCCCUUCAAGAAAGUUGUAAAGUUUGUCACUACGAGUGAUUGUGUGUAUAUAUAUAUAUAUAUAUUUUUUUUUUUAAACAUUUUUCACUACAUUAAUUAUUAUGAAUUUUUAUUAAUUUGCACUCAAAUAAUAAACACUAUUAAUGAGGCCUUAGAACGUUUUAAAAAUCUAAACGACGAUGUAACUAUUUUCUAAGCUUAGAGAAUGCAACCUCGAGCGUUUAUACUUUUACAUUAAUAAUAUGUUUUUUUUUUAAUUUUGAACUCCCCCUUAAAACACUGUUCAUGAGGGAUUGUAGGGUUUUAAAAAUCCAAACGAUGAUGUACCCAUCGCCAAAUCGUGCGAUCACGAGCGUUUGCAUAUUUUUUCACACUUGUAAAUCAAUUAUUAUGUUUAAUGUGCUUUAGUAUUUUUAAAUUGCUUUGGUAUCUUUAAUGUGCUUUGAAACUUUUUAAUCUUACUUAUGUGAGAUUAAAUACUAUGGCUAUUGUAGUAAGAUUUUUUAGUAGUUUAAAACUAUUAACUACCUUUUUUUCUUAUCAGGUCGAAACAGGUCAUCCACAGGUAAAUAUUAUGAGAGAUUAACGGGUUCUUAAUGUGUGACCGAUAACGACCCGAUUAGUUAACUCGUUGAAGCAAAACCCAUUAUUUUCUUGUCGUUUCGAAUAAAAUUAACAGGAUGUGCAAAAAAUUGUCAUGUCUAUGCUCCAAUUUGGACCUCCCUUUUCUCUGAUACAUAAUUUAUCUUCUAGACUACUAUACAUCACACAAAAUGCGCAUUUCAAAGAACUUUAUCGGAGUUGUUUUAUUUCUCAGGUUACUAAGUGUCUCUCAUGACUUUUCUUUGGGGAUGAAGUUGAACUUUCACUGCCUGGAAUUAGUUUUGGGGAUGGACCAUCAUUUGUGUCUUUUAUCUCUUGACUGACUUAUAAAUUUUUCCACAACGACUUUGUCUACCGUCUUUGUGGCGCUGGAUGCAGAAGAAUGAACCUCCUUUCAUAAAUUUCAAAGGUUGAGCAAAUUCUCCUCCAAUUAUAUUUUGACGGGAAAAAUAAUCAUCUUAAGACAAAAAAAAAAAAAAGAGAAAAGAAAUAAGACAUGUAGAAUAUUAUUCCUCGUGAGGUAUAUAAUUAUAUAUGCAAGUGGUAAAUUGUCUUGAUGGAUAAGGUCUUUCUCUUUGACCAACGAAGAGAAAGCUUUGUUUACUCUGAUACAUAAUUUAUCUUCUAGAUGACUACUCAUUUAUCUCACAGUGUGUAUUUCAGAUGACCUUAUAGGAGUUAUAUUUCUCAGGUUACUAACCAUCUCUCGCAAACAAGGUAUGUUCUUCAAGGUAUGUGGUAUGAAUGGGGUUAUGAUCCAAGUUAAGUUCUUUAAUAUGCCUUAUUUUAUAAGGGACUUCAAAUAUUUUCUUUAUGUAUGACAAAUGAUAACCACAAGCUGAUUGGCUCUUAGUUCAACUCAAUUUGGAAAUGAUGUUAAAUACUUAGAAAAUAUCCAACUACAAAGUAAUAACUUGAAAGAAUGAAAAUUUUAAGAGAUCAAGCAAGUUAAACCCAUUUUGGCAAACUUUCUUGCUAGUCGAGCAAGGAUGAGGAUGACGAUGUAACCAUUUUCUAAGCUUAGAGAAUGCAACCUCGAGCGUUUAUACUUUUACAUUAAUAAUAUGUUUUUUUUUUAAUUUUGAACUCCCCCUUAAAACACUAUUCAUGAGGGUUUGUAGGGUUUUAAAAAUCCAAACGAUGAUGCACCCAUCACCAAAUCGUGCGAUCACGAGUGUUUGCAUAUUUUUUCACACUUGUAAAUCAAUUAUUAUGAAAUUUUAAUGUGCUUUAGUAUUUUCUAAGCUUAGAGAAUGCAACCUCGAGCGUUAUACUUUUACAUUAAUAAUAUGUUUUUUUUUUUUAAAUUUUGAACUCCCCCUUAAAACACUGUUCAUGAGGGUUUGUAGGGUUUUAAAAAUCCAAACGAUGAUGUACCCAUCGCCAAAUCGUGCGAUCACGAGCGUUUGCAUAUUUUUUCACACUUGUAAAUCAAUUAUUAUGUUUAAUGUGCUUUAGUAUUUUUAAAUUGCUUUGGUAUCUUUAAUGUGCUUUGAAACUUUUUAAUCUUACUUAUGUGAGAUUAAAUACUAUGGCUAUUGUAGUAAGAUUUUUUAGUAGUUUAAAACUAUUAACUACCUUUUUUUCUUAUCAGGUCGAAACCGGUCAUCCAUAGGUAAAUAUUAUGAGAGAUUAACGGGUUCUUAAUGUGUGACCGAUAACGACCCGAUUAGUUAACUCGUUGAAGCAAAACCCAUUAUUUUUCUUGUCGUUUCGAAUAAAAUUAACAGGAUGUGCAAAAAAUUGUCAUGUCUAUGCUCCAAUUUGGACCUCCCUUUUCUCUGAUACAUAAUUUAUCUUCUAGACUACUAUACAUCACACAAAAUGCGCAUUUCAAAGAACUUUAUCGGAGUUGUUUUAUUUCUCAGGUUACUAAGUGUCUCUCAUGACUUUUCUUUGGGGAUGAAGUUGAACUUUCACUGCCUGGAAUUAGUUUUGGGGAUGGACCAUCAUUUGUGUCUUUUAUCUCUUGACUGACUUAUAAAUUUUUCCACAACGACUUUGUCUACCGUCUUUGUGGCGCUGGAUGUAGAAGAAUGAACCUCCUUUCAUAAAUUUCAAAGGUUGAGCAAAUUCUCCUCCAAUUAUAUUUUGACGGGAAAAAUAAUCAUCUUAAGACAAAAAAAAAAAAAAGAAGAGAAAAGAAAUAAGACAUGUAGAAUAUUGUUCCUCGUGAGGUAUAUAAUUAUAUAUGCAAGUGUUAAAUUGUCUUGAUGGAUAAGGUCUUUCUCUUUGACCAACGAAGAGAAAGCUUUGUUUACUCUGAUACAUAAUUUAUCUUCUAGAUGACUACUCAUUUAUCUCACAAUGUGUAUUUCAGAUGACCUUAUAGGAGUUAUAUUUCUCAGGUUACUAACCAUCUCUCGCAAACAAGGUAUGUUCUUCAAGGUAUGUGGUAUGAAUGGGGUUAUGAUCCAAGUUAAGUUCUUUAAUAUGCCUUAUUUUAUAAGGGACUUCAAAUAUUUUCUUUAUGUAUGACAAAUGACAAAUGAAACACAAGCUGCUGAUUGGCGCUUAGUUCAACUCAGUUUGGAAAAUGAUGUUAAAAAAUACUUAGAAAAUAUCCAACUACAAAGUAAUAACUUGAAAGAAUGAAAAUUUUAAGAGAUCAAGCAAGUUAAACCCAUUUUGGCAAACUUUCUUGCUAGUCGAGCAAGGAUGAGGAUGACGAUGUAACCAUUUUCUAAGCUUAGAGAAUGCAACCUCGAGCGCUUAUACUUUUACAUUAAUAAUAUGUUUUUUUUUUAAUUUUGAACUCCCCCUUAAAACACUAUUCAUGAGGGUUUGUAGGGUUUUAAAAAUCCAAACGAUGAUGCACCCAUCACCAAAUCGUGCGAUCACAAGUGUUUGCAUAUUUUUUCACACUUGUAAAUCAAUUAUUAUGAAAUUUUAAUGUGCUUUGGUAUUUUUAAAUUGCUUUCGUAUGUUUAAUGUGCUUUGAAAUUUUUUAAUCUUACUUAUGUGAGAUUAAAUAUUAUGGCUAUUGUAGUAAGGUUUUUUUAGUGGUUUAAAAUUAUUAACUAGCUUUUUUCUUAUCGGGUCGAAACUGGUCAUACACGGGUAAAUACUAUGAGAGAUUAAUGGAUUCUUAACGUAUGACCUAUAACGACCCAAUUAGUUAACUCGUUGACCCAAAACCCGUUAUUUUCUUAUCGUUUCGAAUAAAAUUAACAAGCCGUUUAAGAAAUUGUCAUGUCUAUGCUCCAAUUUGGACCUCCCUUUUCUCUAAUACAUAAUUUGUCUUCUAGACUACUAUACAUCACACAAAAUGCGCAUUUCAAAUAACUUUAUCGGAGUUGUUUUAUUUCGCAGGUUACUAAAUGUCUCUCAUGACUUUUCUUUGGGGAUGAAGUUGAACUAUCAUUGCCUGGAAUUAGUUUUGGGGAUGGACCAUCAUUUUUGCCUUUUAUCUCUUGACUGACUUAUAAAUUUUUCCACAACGACAUUGUCUACCGUCUUUGUGGCGCUAGAUGUGGAAGAAUGAAGCUUCUUUCAUAAAUUUCAAAGGCUGAGCAAAAUCUCCUCCAAUUAUAUUUUGACGGGAAAAAUAAUCAUCUUUAAGACAAAAAAGAAAAAGAAAUAAGACCUGUAGAAUAUUAUUCCUCGUGAGGUAUAUAAUUACAUAUGCAAGUGGUAAAUUGUCUUGAUGAAUAAAGUCUUUCUCUUUGACCAACGAAGAGUAAGCUCUGUUUACUCUGAUACAUAAUUUAUCUUCUAGAUGACUACUCAUUCAUCUCACAAUGUGUAUUUCAGAGGACCUUAUAUGAGUUGUAUUUUUCAGGUUACUAACCAUCUCUCGCAAACAAGGUAUGUUCUUCAAGGUAUGUGGCAUAGAUGGGGUUAUGAUCUAAGUUAAGUUCUUUUAUAUGCCUUAUUUUAUAAAGGACUUCAAAUAUUUUCUUUAUGUAUGACAAAUGAUAACCACAAGCUAAUUGGCUCUUAGUUCAACUCAGUUUGCAAUUCUCACAUGGAUAUGUUUAUAUAAAUGUACGAAAGACCAUACGAAAAUGAAAGAACAGAAAGGAAAUGAUGUUAAAUACUUAGAAAAUAUCCAACUACAAAGUAAUAACUCAAAAGAAAUGAAAAAUAUAAGAGAUCAGGCAAGUUAAACCCAUUUGGGCAAACUUUCUUGCUAGUCGGGCAAGUUCGUGCACAUUGUUGAAGUGAUUUGAAAUAUUGUAGAAUGCAGAGAUUCAAAAAUUUUAUGAGUUGUGAGUUGAGUGCCAUUUUCUUCUUUCUUUAUGUUGUUAUAUAUGGAACAAACAUUUCUUCCGGUUUAAACCUUACACUCUUAGUAUAAUUAUGUAUGCUCCUAGUUGUUGAUGUGAAUACUAACAGAAGGAAAAAUAAAAUUUACAUUGCAACUUGAGCCUUUAUCCCCUCAAAAUUACCAAAAUGUCAUCAGAAAGUAGUUUUUCCUCUGUAAAACCGCAUGGGUUAAAUGUACAGUGUGACAGGGUGUUUGUCGCCCACAAUGCCACAUGUAAAGUAGUUUCAAAUCCUUGAGCUCAAUUACUGUUCACUUAUGUUGAAAUUAAAUAUCUAUUGGACAAGGAUUGUCUGCCCUCCUCCUCGUACCCUUCUUUUUUGUGUGGUCACGGUUAAGCUACGUCAACAUUUUAUAUUGUUUUUUUAUAGAUAUAAUAAAACAAAAAUGAAUAGUAAUAUAAAAUGUUAACGUGGCUUAACCGUGACCACACAAACAGGAGGGCAAACAAUCCUUGUCCAUAUCUAUUAGUACUUGAAUGAAAUAAAGGCAUUAGGCCUAAUAUAGGCCCAAACUUAUUCUGGAUCCAAACAUCUUGUUCAUUUUUUACCCUCCCAUAGACGAGAAAUUAUAGUGUAGUACAGUAAUACCUCGUCAUCCGUGAUAUUUCCUUUCGAAUUUCGCCAUGUGUUAUGUUUUUACACAAGUGGAAUUUAAUCUCAUUUUUAAUCUUUAAAUAAAUUUAAAAAUGAAAAGAAAAAAAGAAAAAAAGAACAAAAUAGAUCGUGUUCUUGAAGUUUUUGCCUCCUCCGGCCCAAUCUGGUAAUCCCCUUCCACACACCGCCGCAUCUCUUUUCUUCACGAUUUGGGGAUUAAACUCGAAAAUGAUCGGCAUCCGAAAGCGGUGUGAAGGCGUUUGGAAAUACAUUCAGCGUGGCUGAUGGGUUUGCUUGGCUGAGUCGGACUCAUCCAUUCAGCGUGGUUCUGGUUGAAUUUGGAGAGUUGGUAAAGAAGAAAACAGGAUUUGAUUUGAAGGUUAGACAAUUAGAUUCAAUUUUAGUUUCUGUAUGGUUGCGAAGAAAGUAUAACAUUACAAGUUACUGGGAAGUGCAAGGCUAAUUCUUUUGUUUUGAAAUUUCCGUGACUGAUGAGGAAAUCAUCAGAAAAUUUUGGAACAGCAGCCAUGGCGGAAACUGGGUGGGGCUGUGCCGUGGAAGGAGGCGCAAAGGCAUCUAGGCUUUUGUUUCCUUUUAAAUUUUCAUUUUUUUAUUUAUCAAGAGUGAGAUUGAGAUUCAAUUCCUGCUGUAUAAAAGUGGUCGAACGUUUGCAAUUUGUACUUGUAUUUAUGUUUUGGGGAUGAAGUUGAACCAUCACUGUCUGCAAUUUGUUUUGGGGAUGGACCAUCCUUUUUGUCUUAUAUCUCUUGACUCACUACCGUCUUUGUAGGUCUGGAGAUGUAGAAAAGUAAUUUGCAGUAAAUAUCUUUACUAAUGUGUGUAUAAAUAACACUCUAAAUUACUCAUUCCUCACACCAAUCACCUACUUGAUAUCUACAUGGAUAGAGUCAUGAGACUUGUUCCAAUACUCAGCUUUCUUCUAUCCAUUGCGUCUUUUACACUCAGCUUAUGCAAUGGAAACCCGAAUGUGCCUUGCCGAGAAAAUGAGAGACAAACACUUCUUAUGUUCAAGAAAGAUCUCAAUGAUUCUUCAAAUCUGCUUUCCUCUUGGGUUGCUGAAGGCGAUUGUUGCACCUGGACCGGUGUUGCCUGCGACAAUUUAACCGGUCAUGUCCGUGAGCUCCACCUUGCUGGUUAUUAUGAUGACGUGGCUGGUGAGGACCGUAAGCUGGGUGGUAAGGUAAAUCCUUCUCUACUCAAUUUAAAGCAUCUCACCUACUUGGACUUGAGCUACAAUGAUUUUGGAGGACGACAGUUUCCUAGCUUUCUGGGUUCUCUUGAAGGUUUAAGAUAUCUUAACCUCUCGUUUGCAUGGUUCAACGGAACCAUUCCUCAUCAGUUGGGAAAUCUCUCGAGCCUGCGUUAUCUGGACCUUUCUGAUAACUAUGGUUCGAAGGUCGAGAAUCUCAAAUGGCUCUUUGGUCUUUCUCAGUUGAAACAUCUUGACAUGAGUUAUGUAGAUCUUACCAACGCAUCUCAUUGGUUACAAGUAAACACACUCCCUUCUCUGCUGGUCGAGUUACAUUUGUUUGAUUGUGAACUUUAUCACAUGCCAAGUGGUAUUGCGAACUUGACAAGUCUUAAAGUUCUUGAUCUGUCCUACAACUAUUUCAACUCUACCAUACCGCAAUGGUUACAAGUAAACACACUCCCUUCUCUCCUGGUCGAGUUGCACUUGUCGGAUUGCAAUCUUUAUCACAUACCAAGUGGUAUUGCGAACUUGACAAGUCUUAAAGUUCUUGAUCUAUCCAUAAACUAUUUCAACUCUACCAUACCUCAAUGGUUGUACAGUUUGAACCAUCUUGAGUCCCUUGAUCUUUCUGUCAAUGCUUUCCAUGGUGAGAUUUCGAGUUCCCUUGGAAACUUGACAGCCCUUGUUGAUCUUCAAUUACAUCAUAAUCAGCUUGAAGGGGAAAUCCCAAACUCAUUGGGAAAUCUUUGUAAGUUGACUUCUUUUGAUCUAUGGUCAAACAAUUUCCGGGGGAGGGUAUCAGAAAUCUUUGAAAUUUUGUCUAGCUGUAGUAAUUUUGGUCAAAUAGAUUAUUUACAUCUUUCGGAUAAUAAUUUUUCAGGUCAUUUAUCUGAUCAACUGGGAUUUUUAAAAAAUUUACGCAUCCUUGAUCUUUCAAAUAAUUCAAUAUCGGGCCCCAUUCCAGUGUCUUUAGGAAAUCUAUCACGUUUAGAGGAGUUGAUCAUUUCUGACAAUUCAUUCGAAGGCCCCAUUCCAGUAUCUUUAGGAAAUCUAUCAAGUUUAGAGGUGUUGAUCAUUUCUGACAAUUCAUUCGAGGGGGUUGUCUCUGAAGCUCAUUUUACUAAUCUUACAAGCUUGUUUACCUUUUAUGCAAAUGAGAACUCCUUGACUCUUAAAACUAGCCCAGACUGGGUUCCUCCUUUUCAACUUUCUACGUUGGGUUUAAGUUCUUGGCGUCUGGACCCAUCACAGUUGCCUGCAUGGCUUCAGAGUCAAAAACAUUUGUUCGCUCUUAAUAUGUCCAAUACAGGAAUUUCUGGUACCAUUCCGGCUUGGUUGUGGAACAUUUUUUCUGUUGAAAACAUGGGUCCAGGUAUCUUUGUGGAUCUCUCUCAUAAUCAAUUGUCCGGGGAGGUUCCAAAUAUAGCUUCUACCCACAGGCCAAAACAAAAGCAUUUGGAAUUUGUUUAUCUUGCCAUUGACUUAGGAUCUAACCAAUUCAACGGUUCAUUGCCUCUUGUGUCUUCGACAGUGAUUGCACUAGAUCUUUCCAAUUCAUUAUUUUCUGGAACUCUCUCUCACUUCUUUUGUGAUAGGAGUGAUGUACCUAAAAACCUUCAAACUCUUCUUCUUGACAACAAUCUCCUCACUGGAGAAAUUCCGGAUUGUCGGUUACACUGGCCAAACUUGACAGUAGUGAAUUUAGAAGACAACAAUUUGACGGGGAAAAUUCCAAGCUCUAUCGGGGACUUACUUUCCCUUCAAUCAUUGCACUUGCGCAAUAAUAACCUAUAUGGAGAAUUACCCGUGUCCCUACAAAACUGUCAAGAGUUGCUCCUUCUUGACCUUCUUGGAAAUAAGUUUGUUGGAAGCAUUCCGAUAUGGUUUGGCCAAAGCUUGGUGGUUCUUAUUCUUCGCUCAAAUAUGUUCCAAGGCACCAUUCCUCAUGAACUUUGUAGUCUCACAAAGCUCCAAAUCUUGGACCUUGCGCAUAACAAUCUCUCGGGAACGAUACCAAGAUGUUUCCAAAAUUUGUCAUCCAUGGCCACUAAAUUUUCAAGUGAAGAAGCUCCCAGUAUUGAAUUCUCCGUUUCUUCGGUUACUGGUAUGAAUACUUUUCAGCUCUCCUACUCCUACACAGAGAAUGCGGUUUUUGUGGCCAAAGGCAGAGAAGUGAAAUAUGACACAGUGCUUCGUUUGGUAACUAGCUUGGACCUUUCAAGGAACAUGUUAUUUGGAGAAAUCCCUGAAGAGUUGACCAACCUCACUAGCCUACAAACAUUGAAUUUAUCUGAUAAUCUUCUGGCCGGAAGAAUCCCUUCCAAAAUCGGUGAUAUGGGAGCGUUAGAGACGCUUGAUUUGUCUGUGAACCAACUUUCUGGCGAAAUUUCUCCAAGCAUCUCGAAUUUAACAUUUCUCAAUCAUCUAAAUUUGUCCUAUAACAAUCUGAUUGGGCAAAUUCCAAAAAGCACUCAGCUUCAGACCUUUGAUUUGUCCAGUUAUGUUGGCAAUAAACUUUGCGGACCUCCACUGGAAGAGCGUUGCAGUACAAAUGAGGCCAUGCCACCAGUAGGUGAUGAGAAGCAGAGAGAAGGUCAUUUUCUUGAAGACGGUGGUUUCUAUCUGAGUUUGGGGCUUGGUUUUGCAUUUGGGUUUUGGAUUGUUCUUGGUUCAUUGUUGUCUAAUGUGCCAUGGAGCAAUGCAAUUUCUCAGUUCCAAAAUCGCAUUGUGAAGAAGUUUUAUGCGGCAAUCGCUGAACGUUAUUAACUAUUUUGUGCAGAUAAAUCGAGUAUGUGUGAUUUGUUUCUACUCUUUUGCUAUCCAAUUAGAAUGUUACACUGUUGUAUGCUUCUUUGUACCAAUUUAUUUUAUCUUUUCCUUGGUUUUUUCUUUGGCCAUAUAAAAUUGUAAGAUUUGCUUUAUAAUUUCUGUGAUAAUUUUUAAAUUUAUUUUGUGAGUAUAUGAUAUGUUAAUCUUAUGUUGAUUCACACAGUUGUAUUCCUCUUUAGUAUGUUUGAUUUUCUAUUGGAAAGCAAGAUUUAAUUUCAACUAGAAAUUACGCCCGCGCGUUGCUGCGGGAACCAGCUGUUUCAGAUGUAAUCAGAUGGAUAAAACACAUUUAAAUUGAAUAAAUUCAAGACAAUUACGAACAAACAGAGGGAUACAUGAGUGGGUGAGGCCGGUAAGAUAAGCAGUUUUGCUUUUAACACAUUUAAGUGAGUUGGCAUAUAAACAUAUUAUAUGGGAAAGUGUCUAAUUAACAACUACUAAUCAAACUGCAAAAGCAACAUAUGAGUUUUUCUGGGUUCAAAGUUCAAACACAGAAUAGAACCAACAGAGUCAAAGGUCUUCAUAUGCAUUAUGAGAAAAAAAAACCUCAUUACGGUAUAAAAAAUCAUAACUUAAAGCUAAACCCAAAAAAGUAAGAGACAAACAAUUGAUGUUCCUUAUUAUGUCCAUCUAAGAGAUGGGCCAGUAAAAUUUGUGAAGAAACACCUGCUGGUUUGUCCAACAUGAGAAGAUAUAAAGUUCUCAUUGACGAUUCAUUACUUGAGUGGUUUAUUUAUUUAAGUGAUUUCUAUUUUGUUAAGAAAAUGAUACCGCCAUAAAAAAAAUGGAGUUUUAACGAAAAGUCCACGGUACUGUUCACUUUAACGAAAAACCACAUUUUUACACUAAAAAGUCAAACUUGAUACUAUUCAUUUUACCCUUUAUUUUGUCCUUAUCAUUAAAACUCCAAGUUUUCAAGCUCUUUUCAUUAGUUUUCCUUAAAAAAAAUAGAAAUACAUAACAGUUCAAUCAAAUCAUUUUUUUAUGUCCUAUACUAACUGGUUGAAGAUGCCCGAAUCAAAACAAAAUGGAUAUCUGCAAACUUGCUUGCUCUAAGGACAACGAUUUCCAACUUUAGUAGAAUCACAUCCAACUCUUAUCAAUUACUUCUGAAAUAGUAAAAAACCAUGAAAUUGUGCAGUCACUAAAGACCUAAAUACUGAAAUCACAAAAGAAAAACAACCCAAUUCAUAAAUUAAUGAUUGAAAGGAUAUAAUCCUACCUGAGGACCCUCAGAUCACUUGAAAGUGUAUCCCAAGUGUGAAGGCUGUCAGCGAAAUUGAACUCCUGCCAUUUUGAAUUUGAUAAAAGCAUUACUUGUGAAGUACGCGUUCGUGCAUGUCCUAUAGAUCUACCCGUUGUUGAUUGGAAAUUGAAAACUGAUAUUCGCAAGAAACAGCAGCUUAAUUACAGUAUUGAUUUCGAAGUCUGUAUAUUUUGUGGUUAAGAGGAGGGUGAUCCACUUAAAUGCAUAAAAUUGGGGAUUGACCUGUCAUUUAAAAUUUUAGCCCAGUCAGUCCUGUAUAAAGAAUUCUAGUGACCUAAAUAUGAUAUUCUCAAAUAACAUUGAAACCUUAACGUGUUAAAUAUUUAAGUAGCAUUUUACUAUUUAUAAGGCUGUCGACAGGUGACACAUAAUAAUUCUCGUCUUGGAAAAAUUAUUAAUUUUGAUCAAAUCUCUAAGGAGAUAGGUAAUAAGAAAGUGCUAGGAAGUCACUGGAUAAGCUUGAACCCCGGAACAAUCUAGCUAAAUAGUAUCCGGUGUCAUUCCAUGCCAUACCAAUGGCAUACUAAUGCAUGUAUCCUCUUCAAUUACAUUUACAUAAAUGUGUUGUGGCAUACUAUGUCAUGUUUUAUAUAAAUUUAAUCCUCCAAUUUAACACGGUCACCAAAAAAAUAUAUUGGAGAAUCAAAUUGAAAAAUCCAACAUAACCCAAAUUUACAUUAACAGACAAACAGAUGCUACAGUAAAGUAAAAGAGAGCCAAGAACGGAAUUUUACUUUAUCUAUGCCGAUAACCGUUUGCGAACGAAACAAAUACCAAUUGGAAUGCAAAAAAUAAUGAAGUGAAAUAAGCACAUGGAAGUGUUAUUUAUAAUGAAGUGAAAUUAUCCACUAUGGUUUAUUUGACAUAUGGAUAAUUUCGUCUAAGAAAGAGAAAUAAGUAGCGUCAAGCACAGUAAAUUACCAUCUGUUUGUAUCUCAAAAGUUCACAAGUGUCCAGUUGCCUCUUUGCUGGACCCAACUCUAUCCGUCUCACUCUACUUGCAAAGUUCAGUGAGCAAAAUGUCUCACUCACACCAUUUUCAUUAGGACUUAUUUGAACAAACAUGAGUGUCUUCGAGUCUCCUCCUAAAACAACGAAUGAUAUUCAUUAGUUUAAGUUUCAUCCAAGAAACCAGAGAAUAAAAUAAAAAAUAUGAACUUGGAAUAUUAAACAACUCAGAAUAAGAAUUGUUGAUUCUUCUGUGAUCCAAAUGAAGUACCUAGAGAGUCUUGAAGCAAGUGGGUAAGCUUCGAGUUCCUGCACAUAACACAUAAUUUAGUAAAAGAAAGUAAUAGCUGAAUACAUCAGGUGGCAACUUGGCCAAUAUAAACAAAGAACUAUUCAUUAAACAUAAAGGUAUGUGUGAGCUUUUAGUUGCAAGUGCAGAUAUGACAUCACCAAGGGAAGACAGAGACCUAUUUAUGUUUUGAGUUUCCUUGAGUCGUUCUCCUUGCAUUACUGCCAGUUUGCAGAACUUCCCAGACUUCACUCAUGUUGUUUACAUGUGCCUCAACCAGACCUGGAACAUGAUGUAUCCCCUCACCGAGUUGUCUUAUUUCUAGCCUACAAAUUAUCGCAAUACUGUGAAAUGCUAUUAUCUUGAAAUGAUCCCAUAACGUCCCAUCCUUCGCACUUGUGAAGACAUGGAACAUCAUGAGAACUGAACAGAAAGUCUCAUGUUUUAACAAUCAUGCAGCAUCCCACUCAUGGCAUAAUUGUUUGUGGGAUGACACAACUGGAGUCUAUUUCUACAGAACCCAUGAAACUAAACAAUCCAAAAUUAACAGAUUACACUGACAACAUUCCAACAAAAGAAAGAAGACCAAAAAUAUUAUGUAUUCUAAAGUAAUUUAGGGAGCUGAAAUAGCAAAAACCCACCUAAUUCUAAACCUAAGUAAAACCUUCAAUUAAACCCCAACUACAAACCUGAAUUAAACCUUCAAUUAAACUCCAAAUUAAACUAUUAAUAAAACCCAAAUUAAAUCAUCAAUCAGGAAAGAUAAAAAUACAAAAGGGGAUUUAAGAGGUGUACCUGGAGUGAGUGAGUGAGUGAGUGGGCGAGUGAUGCGGCGACUGUGAGAGUCUGAGAAUAACACAGAGAUGGGAUGUUUAGCACCAAACAAAAAAACUAUAAAAAAUUGUGUUCCUUCCAUACAGUACUACGCUUCUAGCAACAAAUAUAGAAUAAAGUACAAAUCUGAAAGAGUGCCGAAAUUACUGCAUACGGAAAGUCCACCAUUGUUGAACAUCUCCCUGCAAAGGUAUGUAUGAUAUAUAUGAUGCAUGCGUAUCAAAUAGCAUCAGCAUGUUUCUAAUUAGUAUGAUAGUCAGAUAGUCAGAUUGUUAGUUUAGGAGAAGAUUAUUGCCCAAUCAACAGGUAGAAUCAAAGUAUGAAUAUAUUCAGUUAAUAUUACAGUACAGAUUUUGCAUCCCAAGAUAUGUGGUUCUUAUAGAUUCAUGAAAUAAAUGUUGAGAGUAUCGCGUUUAAGAAUGGGAAAAGGCAUAUCUAAACUAAUUAAGGGUUACAUAUAUAUGGAUUUCAGACUCUUAAGAAGGUGAAAAGGCAGAAAACAAAAGAAUAAUGACUUCAAUUAAGAAUUUAGUAGUGUACAAACUAUCACAAACGAAAGGAGCAACAUUUGAUUUCAAAAAGAUUUCAGGGAUAAUAAAACCCAUUGAGGGAACACAUAUACAGGUUAAAAGGGCAUAAGCGAUGGCACAACAUGAGUCCGUAACAUCAUUCAGAAGUCAAUCAUAUGACAAACUACAAACCUAAUUAAAUCCAAAAACAUGAAAAUGAAAAUCGCAAACACAGCAAAUCCAUUAGUUAAUUGUCCAGUCCCCCAAUUUAACUAUUGUUACAUGCAUGCGAUCAAAUUAGACCUGGGAAGUGGGAAACAUGCAUAAUCAUUAAGCACUGAGUUGAUUGCAGGGCAAGCAAGCAUCAAAUUAGAAUCACUAUAUAACAUCGUUAAUUUAAACCAAUUUUAAAUGACUAAAACCUUUCCUCCAUACAUCUUAAUAAAUUAAGUUUUUUUUUAUAUUUCUGGUGUAUUUUGAUUUUCCCUCUCUUUGUAUGAUUUGAGCUCUAGUAGAACAUGCUUUGUUAUACAUUAGAUAAGUCUGCUAAAAAAGAGGAGGCUAGAGCCUAGAAACACUUAUAAAGAAGAUAUUUCAUAACGUUUCCAUGUUGAGCUAUGACCAAGGCAGAGUUAGACUCAUAUCAGGAUCACUACAGGUUCUGGGAAAGGAUUGCCAAAAGAAUGCACGCAUAACUUCUCCUACAAUUACCUAAGCAUCCUAUUAAUAUACUUAACAUGGUACACAGACUUUACAAUCAAGAAAACGAAGAAUGCAACAGUUGUAAGGUCUUGUUUCUUAUCAAAAUAGAUCCCUCUUAAGAAAUGGACUUAUAUGCACUAAAUUUGAAUACUAAUCAGGAGAUACAUAUGAAUAGAGUUACAAAGGUCCUAAAUCCUUAUCCCAUGACCCCAUUUUCUUUCCCAAAAUUUCCAGCCAACCAAACAGACGCCAACCUAACCCUAAUCAGCAAAUUUCUCAAUCAAACACCACUCAAUCACCCAUCAAAAACCAAGGAAAUUCAAGAAAAACGAAGAAUGCAAUAGUUGUAAGGUCUUGUUUCUUAUCAAAAUAGAUCCCUCUUAAGAAAGGGAAUGAGACAAUUCUGAGAGGCAACUGCUGGGUAAGAGUACAAAAUUGCAUGCCUUCCAUUUUAAAGUUCAAAAUUUUCAUUUCUAUUCUGAAGAUCAAUAUUAUGUAUCUUCUCAUUUUUUCAUGCAUUUAGAUACCUUUUGAGAGAAAGUCCCAUGCUAUUUUAUUUCCAUUUUGUGGUGUUCUAAUCUUUCAAAAGUACUCCACACAUGCAACGCUUCUUCAAAAGUGGAAAAAGCAGGGAAACCACGCACGCAGUCUGAUUUUAAAGUAAGUUUGAAAGUCAUUAUACCUCCUGUUAGUUUAUCCUAUCCUCACUUGGGCUCCAUAUGGAAAGAUUUUCUUGACAGUUCCUUCUACAAGCGUUCCCUCCUUAAGGUAUAACAGUUCCUAAAACAUUAUAUGGCAAACCAAUGUCAGUUCUUAUGAAAAAUAAGAUCACAGAAUCUCAGAACAAACAAGGAGAGAACAUUGCAAGCAACAAAAAACAUGAAUAAAUCAAAUGUCGAAGUCCAACCGACCCAAGCUUCUUUCUCACUCAAUACUAAGUCAUUCUUAGCUUCGUCUAUUUGAGUAAUCUGCACAUGCAUCCGGCAACUCACCUACACCAUUAGGAAACAACAUGUGUAAGAAGCAAACUAACAAAUCAAACAUAUGCAACUAAGGGAGGAAAAGGUUAAACAAUGAAAAGUUGUUAGUUGAGGUAAAUCAUACUCCACAAUGAAAAUUAGUAAAGAUUAAAGUACAAAACAAUUGAGGUAAAUCAUAUACUCCAGAACGAAAAAAUUUAAGAAAUACAAACUUAAAAUAUUACCCAUCACGCUAGCCGCUUCUUCUAACCCACCAAUUGCUAAAUGUUAAAUUUCUUGAACUACACAACCUAUGACAAAUACCUGAACAGUAAGGGUGCGUUUGGUACGUGGGACGGGACGGGACGGAACGGAACGAGGCGUUCCGUCCCGCGUUUGGUGCGCUAAAAAUGGGUGGAACGGGUUGUUCCACGGGACAGAUUUUGGGUGUUUUUGCGUUCCACCUCUCCCCCCUGGAACGGGUUUGUUCCACGUCUGUGGAACACAAUGUUUUACCAUUUUAAGACAAAUAUACCCCAUGUCUUUUUCAAAAAUUACACCUUCGUUCCGUCCCGUCCCGUUCCGUUCCGUCCCGUCCCGUCCCGUUCCGUUCCGUCCCGUCCGCGUACCAAACGCACCCUAAGAGAACAAUGGACAUUCAUUGUACUCAAUCUGCAUUUAUCCCAGAACCAAGAAAGUUAUGAAGAAACAGAAAUGAAACUGUACAGCAGGUAUACAGCAGGGAACAAACACUAUGAAACUGGCACUCAAGUACUGUAAGGAAUAUCAGAUUAGCAUUCAUCUAACCAGAUCUUCUAGCUACUAACAAUUAGUUGUUAAAACCCUAACACUAAUCAAGCGAUCCUACACAUAUAUCUAGCUUUCUUCGCAUCCUGCCAGUAAUAAAUUGCAUUCAAGCGCGUAGUAGCAGCUUGCACAAAUAAACAGUUUAAGUAUGAUAAACAGAAAAAGGAAACGGAAACAUGAAAACAAAUGGAAUAAGCAGUGUCAUAAAGAUGCGAUAUCUGACCAUGUAAAUAAGUGUUCUUGAGUGACAUUACCAGUAGAUCAGUGAGUUCACGAUAGAGCUUCUCUAGCUCCAUGUGUUCCUGCAAAAUGGAAAAUAUAACCCAUAAAUAACAUAGUGCUCAAUAUAACCUAGUAAAACUCUUCAUAUGAAGAUAUACAAAAGGAGAGGAAGCAGAUAUCACUUGGCGCAAGGAAUGCUCUGCAUCCCUCUUCAUGGAAGCCAUCUCAACUCUCAUUUUUUGGACUUCGGCCUGAAAUCGAGCAUUUCAAGGAGGUUGUUUGACAAAGCAAAAAAUUCAGAACGCAAAGCUUCAAAUUGAUAAUAACAACACUGUUGGGCAAUAAACAGAGGGCACUUACCUCAAAGAAGAAAGCUUGACCUAUGCAUCCCUCUGACCUUGGCGUGCACGGUCCACUUCUUCCUCCCAUGCCAUAGUCGUACACUAAUCCAAAUUAUACAAUCCUCAACUACGCACUUCCCUUGACUUCUCCAAUCAGAUUAUGGUCAGUCAUUCACUUUCGACAUAUCAAUAGAGCAUGACCAAUCUAGUUCACCCCAAUAGUUCCUCUUCCUGUAUAGGAUAAUGCAUGAUAAUAAUAUGGCAACAUGAAAUUGCCCUCAAUUUUUUCUAAAUUUACUACCUUCUUCAACCAAAUAAAACCUAUUGUCUCCUCAAAUAUCAUAAGAUUAACAAUUAAAUGUUCAAACUUCAACUUCCCCUAUAUUCCCUUCCUCUUUACGCAGUAACCCAAUUGAAAAUUUGAAACCUCCCAUCCGAAAUACAAAACCAAAAAAAAAAAUCAGAAAGGAAACAAUACGUGCACAUAGCAAAUUUGAUUAAAAUACAGAAACGAAUCACAAAUUCCCACUUAAAACAAAAUUAGAAGAGAUGGCAAUCUAUAAAAAUCAAUAAACAAAAAAUUGAGCAAAAGGGUAGUGAAAACUCACCUCCAUCUUCGAGAUUUUCCUGCCUAAACUGCUAGGGAACGUGGUCCGAAGCUUUAGCAUAAGCAGACUUGAAGUGUCUCUGAGCUUUCAAUCUUCCGGAAGAGAGAGGUGGUGCAGCGACGACCUUGGUGCCGUGAAGGAAGGUAGGCGCGGUGGCGGAAAUAGAGAGGAGUUCGGCGGAGGAGGGGAUCACAGCCGUCGGAAUUGUGGUGGCGUCGACUGUGAUUAUGGUUUUGACUUCGGGCAACUGUCGGAAGAAGAGGGAGGGAGUCGAACCCUAGAUCGGUGGCGGUUCGGCUGGUGUAGCGAGACCCCCGGUUGUAGAAAAGCUCCGAAGCGCUCGUCAUACACACCAAACGCCUUGUUUUUUCACCUUGUCCUCCUCGAAACGUGUCUAUUUGUGUCGGAUUUUUUGACGAAUUUACAGUGAUGGAUGGUUACAGAAAGAGUCGGAGAGGAAAAGAGGGAAAGAAAAGGGGAUGGAAACGGAGUCGAAGCAAUGCAAGACGAUUGACACGUUGGCGCCCUUCCAUUGUGCAAAACGGUGGCACUUUUGUAAAUAAAUUGAAAUUAUCAAUCUGAACGGCAGGCCGAGGCGAUGGUAAUUUUGUAAAUAACUCAAAAUCCAUCUCAAAUGAAUAGUGCCAAUUGAAGGAAUUGGAUUUCCUCCUGAACAAAUGAUGGGAUCUCUCAUGAUCACACAACACGGAUCGUUGAAUAUAAUUAUUAUAAUUUUUAGAACAAUCUCCUAUUUGUAGCCGUUAGAUCAAAAUCUAACGAUCUGUGUUGUGUGGUCAUGAAGAUCCCCACCAAUUGUUCAGGAGGAGAUCCAAUUCCCCAAUUGAAAACGUUACUUUAUACUAAAGUAAUAUUAUAACAAUAAUAAUAUUUUUUCUUCCAACGAUUAGGACCUUAAACCGAAAUUAGGUUCUCGAAAAACAGCUCCACUCCAGUUGGCUUGAAUAUGACCCAAAAAGAUAUACCCCAUUGUGAAGAGUGAGGAGAAAAAAAAUUUCUAGUUUGAACACAUUAAGUCCUGCUCGCCCGCACAAAUAAGUUCUUCGAAAUUCUCUCGUUUCUCUCCAGCAACAAAACCCAAAAUUGGCUAGCACACUCACAUUUCCUUCGCAACACUAUCUCAGUCGUAGCUUUAGAACUGUAGAACAAUGGAGACACGGGACUUUCACUGUUAUCCUCAGCUUUAGAACAUUAUACACCAUCAUGGAGACAAACGGGCGCGUAUUCUUGUCCUUAUAGUCAUAUCAUAGGUUUUGACCCUCCAUGAGAAACCAAUGAAGCAGCUAACCAAGAAAAAACUAAACCAAUAAAGAGAGAUGGAUUGUUACAUAAAACGAGAAGCUGCCGCAUGGUUAUAAACUCCAUCUUCUACAUCUGAUCUAACCAGAUACAAAUGUAAAUGCUUCGACAAAGACAACCAAGAAGCAGUGGCGGAUCCAGACUUUUAUCAUUGGGUGGUCCCAGUAUUGGAGUUGAACGGGAAGAGUUCGGAUCUCUCCCAUCAAAAGCCACGAUCAAGUGAUCCGGACCGUUGAAAUUUGAUCCAACGGUUACAAACAGGGGGCUCUUCUAAAAGUUAUAAUAAUUGUAGCCGUUUGAUUAAAUUUCAACGGUCCGGAUCAUUUGUUCUUGGGCCUUUGAUGGGAGAGAUCCGGACCCGAUCUCUUCCCGAGUUGUACUAUUUGAAAUAACAUUGUUUAAACUAAUCGAGUAUGAUUUUCAUGUAUUAUGUCGUACCAUGUUCUUAAUUUCUACACAUUCAAUUAUUAAAACAAAAAUUCAUAUAAAUUAAUGGAGAUAAAAACAUAUGUAUAUUUGUUGAAAAACAAAACAUAUAUAUAGAAAUUAACCAUCACAUGAUCAAAUCAAUAUAAAAAAAUCAUAUAUUACAAUCCAAGCACUAACUAGUAUAUAUUAGGAAUCUAACAAUUUUAUCCGAUACACAUCAAUUUAAUAGCAUUCUAUUUUGGACUAAAAUUAGAAAACUUAUUUAAAUUUAGACAUUAGGACAGUAUUAAAAUAACAAAAAUAAAAUUAAGAAAUGAAGCGGUGUUUGAGAGGAGAGAGGUGGACAGGUGAUGGCUUGGUCAUAUGCGGUUAGAACGAAAAAGGAAACUGGGGAGAGAGGAAAAAGGGAUUGGGCAUUGGGAUUACCGAUUAGGGUCUCUUAUAUAAAAUAUUAAAAUGGGAAUUGGGCUCACACAUUCAUUUUAAUUGUAUUGGACUCAAACGGUGCGUUUUGGCCGAUUCAGUUUAACAAGAAAACAACCUUCUUCUUUCUUUUUCAUCUGCAGUCUGCAGAGAGUCACCGCUGCAUAUCUCCCCUCCGCAAAACUCCAGGCCGUUGGGUGGUCCUGAGACCACCCUAGUCCCUGAAUGGAUCCGCCUCUGCCGUUGGGUGGUCCUGGGACCACCCUAGUCCCUGAAUGGAUCCGCCUCUGCCAAGAAGUGAGCUCCCCCAAUUUCCAAAUCAUUCAAAUCUUUCCUGAAACCAUCUCAGCUCAAUGGAAUGGAAGUUCUUACAAAUCUAGAAAUGGGACUCUUAUCCGUGAAAAUUCUAUUUUUGAAGGGCUUAGACUCGAUCUCCUCACAACAGAAUUUGCAUCCCAUCUGUGUUUAUGUAACCCAUACUGGUUUUCAAUAUAAACAUUCAUAAAGGAUCCCUUUCUUAAGGAAAUAGCGGUUGACGCUUAGCUAGAAGAUAUACUUAUUUUCCACCUUCAUCUAGUUAAGUUGAAUUAUCACUUAUUAAGUUAUUGUGCCAAUUUUUUUCAACUCCUGAAUUCAGGACUCGGUUUGAUUGCAGUAUUGGGUGUAUUUUUAUUCAUGCGUUAAACAUCUACAUUUUGUGUUCGUAGUAGAUUCUCUUCUAACUAGGGAUUAUCAAUUUUUCGUCAUUGAAACUUAGUUUAAGAUUUUUUUUUCUUAUGAUUUCAUCACUUUUACUUCAGCAUGCUAGUCGUCACAACUUCUGGAAUUGGGUUUAUUCAUGGAAGUGGCCAUGCCAUUGAUUUUGCUGGACUUUGUUGCACAUGUGCUGGUACCAUGAUGGUUGCAGCAUCUGCUAAUUCCUUAAAUCAGGUUUGUGUGCCCCUUGUUAUUCGGCUCUUUUUGGGCCUGGCUUAUUGUGUAGAUGAAAAUAUUUUUUGAAUGGCACGGUCUUUUGUAAUGGUGAAAGGUAUAGAAAAGCGAAGCAAGAGGCGAAGAAAGCUGUCAGAGAAGCUAAGUUAGCGGCUUACGACGAUAUGUAUAAACGACUAGAUACCAAAGAAGGAGAGUUAGAUAUCUAUAAACUAUCUAGAGCAAGGGAAAAGAAGACAAGGGACCUAAACCAAGUGAGGUGCAUCAAGGAUGAGGAUGGAAAGGUUCUUGCUACAGAGAACGCGGUUAAAGACAGAUGGAGAGGUUAUUUUCAUAAUCUUUUCAAUGAAGGACAUGAAAUGAGUGCUUCUUUAGGGGAGUUGAGUAACUCAGAAGAGUGUAGAAACUACUCUUUUUAUCGUCGAAUCCGGAAGGAAGAAGUGGUUGUAGCUUUGAAGAAGAUGAAGCAUAGAAAAGCAAUAGGCCCAGACGAUAUACCAAUCGAAGUGUGGAAACUUUUGGGAGAGACAGGUAUAACAUGGCUCACUGACCUUUUCAAUAGGAUUUUGAAAACGAAGAAGAUGCCAAAUGAGUGGCGAAUGAGCACUUUGGUGCCUAUCUACAAGAAUAAGGGCGACGUACAAAAUUGCAUGAACUAUAGGGGUAUUAAGCUAAUGAGUCAUACAAUGAAGCUCUGGGAGAGAGUCAUUGAGCAUAGAUUGAGGCAAGAGACACGGGUUUCGGACAACCAAUUCGGGUUCAUGCUAGGGCGCUCAACCAUGGAGGCAAUCUAUCUCUUACGAAGAUUGAUGGAAAGAUAUAGAGAUGGGAAAAAGGAUUUACACAUGGUCUUUAUAGAUUUGGAAAAAGCGUAUGAUAUAGGGUCCCAAGAGACAUUCUUUUGGAGGAUUUUAGAGAAGAAAGGAGUACGAGUAGCAUAUAUCCAAGCUAUAAAGGAUAUGUAUGAAGGAGCAAAGACUGCCGUAAGAAAACUCAUGAAGGACAAACCGAAAGCUUUCCCAUAACUGUAGGAUUACAUCAAGGCUCAUCCUUAAGUCCUUACCUUUUUGCGUUGGUAAUGGAUGAGUUUAACACGACAUAUUCAAGAUGAUAUUCCUUGGUGUAUGCUUUUCGCAGACGAUAUAGUGUUGAUAGAUGAAACUCAGGAAGGGGUAAAUGCAAAGCUUAACCUUUGGAGAGAAGUGUUGGAAUCUAAAGGUCUUCGCCUAAGCCGAUCAAAGACAGAAGAUAUAAUGGAGUGCAAGUUCAGUGCAAAUGGAGGCCAAAACGAGUUAGGGUGAGGAUCGGAGAUCAAGAAAUACCAAAGAGCGACCGUUUUCGUUACCUAGGAUCUAUCUUGCAAAAGAAUGGAGAAUUAGAUGGAGAUCUCAACCAUAGAAUACAAGCUGGAUGGAUGAAGUGGAAGAGUGCAUCCGGCGUGUUGUGUGACCGCCGUAUGCCACUGAAGCUCAAGGGAAAAUUUUAUAGGACGGCAAUAAGGCCGGGCGAUGCUGUAUGGCACAGAAUGUUGGGCGGUGAAACAUCAACACGUACACAAAUGGGUGUAGCGGAGAUGAGGAUGCUUCGUUGAAUGUGUGGGCACACGAGAAAGGAUAAGAUUAGGAAUGAGGAUAUCCGGGGGGUAAAGUAGGAGUAGCCGAAAUUGAAGGAAAGAUGAGAGAAAAUCGGUUACGGUGGUUUGGACAUGUGCAAAGAAGGCCUACUGACGUUCCGAUUAGAAGAUGCGACUAUGGGACAGAGGUUCAGGGCCGAAGGGGUAGAGGAAGACCUAGGGAAACUUUGGAAGAGACUCUAAGAAAAGACUUAGAGUACUUGGAUCUAACGAAGGACAUGACACAGGAUCGAGCACAAUGGCGUUCUAAGAUUCAUAUAGCCGAUCCCACUCAGUGACUUGGAUUUUCCAAGUCUCCAACCGAGAAGUUUUCCUCACUCGGGAAAUUAAGGGAACACUACCCCAACCUACAUGCUCCACUCAGAAAGCUUCAACAUACAAGCUUUAACAAAAGAAAAUUCAAAGAACUUAGCGAAGAAGGCUUUGGUGUAUUUAACACAAUACGUUGAAAUGAAGGAAAGCUUAUUUAUUGAUAUCCCCGAUAAGCUACAAAUAUGUACAUAUACAUGAGUCAAAAUAAGCACACAAGAGGGAGCCUUCACAAAGGUUGCUUAGGAGAAGUCUCAGCAGUCGGUAGAACCCCAGAAAGAGAAGGCACCGGAGGAGGAUCAUUUGGAGCCUCAGUACUGGACAGAACCCUAGAAGGAGGAGGCAUCAGAGGUUGAUCAUUUGGAGCUUCAUUACGCGGUACAGCUCCAGAAGACGAAGGCAAUAAAUGCCUUUGGAACAAACCCACAAAUCUCUGAUGAUCAAGUAAAACCUGACCAUCAGUUUCCUUCAUCUGGUCAAGCUUCCUCUUCAUGUUUGUAGCAUAGUCAUGUGCGAGCCGGUGCAACUGUUUAUUCUCAUGCUUGAGCCCUCUAAUCUCCUGUUUGAGACUCAUCACUUCAGCCGCCAAUGAUUCAACUUGGCGGGUUCGAGCAAAUAGGCGUUGGGCCAUAUUAGCCACAGAACCUGCACACUGAACACUGAGAGCCAGCGAAUCCUUAACAGCUAACUCAUCAGACCGUUUGGAAAGUAGUCUGUUAUCUUUGGGAGUGAGAAGGUUCCUGGCCACCACCGCAGCGGUCAUAUCAUUCUUCAUCACGGAAUCCCCAACGGUAAGAGGACCAGUAGGGGAGACGAAGGAUGGGCGCCAUAUGUUGUCUGGAGAAGGCGGGGCUGCCUCUUCAACAAGGUUCAAGUCAAAACGACGGUCGGAGGGGCCAGACAUUUUCAAAGGUGUUGAAGAGAGAAGAGGUCGGACAAAUCAAGAUCUUAGAAGUGCAAGAAUGAAGCUUCUACUGGUGGAGAUUCAAGUGUGCUUUGGAACUUAAUGCCAGCCCCUAUAAAAAUCUGCACUCGACGAAGCUUCAGAAAUCGAAGAGGCGCCUGCUCAGAAAUCGAAGAGGCGUUUGCUUUCUCAAAAGCUG
rnacentral:lncRNA from 1 species